rnacentral:rRNA from 1 species
UACGUAGGGUGCAAGCGUUGUCCGGAAUUAUUGGGCGUAAAGAGCUCGUAGGCGGUCUGUCGCGUCGGGUGUGAAAAUCCAGGGCUUAACCCUGGACCUGCAUUCGAUACGGGCAGACUAGAGUUCGGUAGGGGAGACUGGAAUUCCUGGUGUAGCGGUGAAAUGCGCAGAUAUCAGGAGGAACACCGGUGGCGAAGGCGGGUCUCUGGGCCGAUACUGACGCUGAGGAGCGAAAGCAUGGGGAGCGAACAGG